UACGAAGGGUGCAAGCGUUACUCGGAAUUACUGGGCGUAAAGCGUGCGUAGGUGGUUUGUUAAGUCCGAUGUGAAAGCCCUGGGCUCAACCUGGGAAUGGCAUUGGAUACUGGCAGGCUAGAGUGCGGUAGAGGGCAGUGGAAUUCCCGGUGUAGCAGUGAAAUGCGCAGAUAUCGGGAGGAACACCAGUAGCGAAGGCGACACUCUGGGCCGGUACUGACGCUGAGGAGCGAAAGCGUGGGGAGCAAACAGG
rnacentral:rRNA from 1 species